UGGUUCUGGCAUCGAUGAAGAACGCAGCGAAAUGCGAUAAGUAAUGCGAAUUGCAGAAUUUCCGUGAGUCAUCGAAUCUUUGAACGCACAUUGCGCCCUUUGGCAUUCCGAAGGGCAUGCCUGUUCGAGCGUCAUUAUCCUCUCUCAAACCUCGGGUUUGGUGUUGGACCGAGUUGGACCGCCUCUACGGCCAACUGGUCUCAAAGACAAUGACGGCGUCCUAGGGACCCCUCCGCGCACUGAGCUUUCCGGAGCACGCGUGGAGUUUCAAGGGCCCCCGGACCCGGUCACCUCUAUUACUUUUUCUAGGUUGACCUCGGAUCAGGUAGGAAUACCCGCUGA
rnacentral:misc_RNA from 1 species